rnacentral:tRNA from 1 species
GGAGUCGUAGUUCAGUUGGUUAGAACGCCAGCCUGUCACGUUGGAGGUCGCGGGUUCGAGCCCCGUCCGCUCCGCCA